ensembl:lncRNA
UUUUAUGCCAGGAGCAAUACCAUGGCAAUGAAACUGACUAAUAUCCUAAUGUUACUUCAGAUUCAUGCAAGAAUUUUAUCAUAAAUAUCUACAGGUAUUUGUGCAAACCUUUAUGAAGAAAAUUCCAAGUAAUGUGUACAGAAAACAGGUAGUCCAGGGUCAGAAGUUUUGGAACACCAUCUUAUUUGAUCGUCAGAUCAGCAAAGUACAUCUGUUUGUCAGUUGCAAAAGUUAUAUCAAUCCCACUGCUGAUUCUUCACAGUGUGGAUUAUCAGACAGCCAAAACAGUUAAUUGGUGAGAUUAAAGCAGAUUACAUGUUUUUUCAAGUCUCCACCUUGUCUUCUGGACCUGGGUGAUUUACUCAGAGGUACAUCUACAUCUUCUUACAGGAUUUAGAAGGCAUUUAUCCACAGAAGAGUGAGAGACAGAGAGUAUCAUCUUGAUUUUUUUUUUUUUUUUUUUUUUGACAGCUCUUAGUGUGACAAAUAUCCUAUCAGCAUAGGACAGCAAGUACUAGAUAGAAGCUCUCCUUUGUAUUGUGCGUGUUUGUGUAAACACAUACAUUGUAAAAUGCUAUGCACAUACAACCUCAUUAUCAUAAUGAGAUAUAUCAAAUGAGCAAUAAAAAAUAUAUAUAUUUAAGAAAGACAAAACACAAUAUGUAAUAUUUUUCCUUUACAGCAAGUAAUAAAUUUAACUUUCUUCUUCACAUUUCUGUCUGAUGUGCAUUAUCAGUAUUUGGUUUAUUUUCAGAGAAACAUAGAUUCAAUUCAAGUCAGUGAUUCACUAAAAUUUCCUAAUAUUCUUAAAGGUGUUUCUCCAUAAAACUUGAAAAAGGAUCCUUAACCUUACCAAAGUCCUCCAUUUUAUCUUCUACUCAUAAAUUACAUUUCCAUUUGAAGCUGCAUCGGUAAGACAUGUUAUGAAUUCUUUUACAGGUAAUUCAUUCCUUUAUUUUCAGUGCCUUUGUAUGUAUCUUUUUCAGAGUCAUUAGACUUCUAGCUACCCACUUGAGAAGUUUCUUAAGAAUCCCUUCAAAAUCAGAAAUAUCAGAGCGUUGAACUUGAUGCAGCUUUAGCAGUUCAUUGGUCAACCAGAAGCAGAAAUACUUCCCACAGUUCCAUUAAAUUUAAAAAAAAAAAAAAAUAAUAAAAAAAAAUUCAAUGGCUGUUACCAAAAAUUCAGAAGUAUGCAGCUGUUACCAGUGAAGUGACUAAAUGGGCUACAUGACACACCACUUCGGCUGGAACGAAACUGAUCAAAUUGCAGUGACAUGGAAGUCAAUUCUUCAUCUCUCUACCUCCUGAAGACCUCUUUGUAGAAAGAAGGGAUACAGCAUGUGGAGCUACUGAAUCAAGCCCAUGAAGAAAAGAUAGGUGACUGAGGGUUAGAAGAGGAGUUUGGAUGUCAAGUUCAAGCUUUCCUUCCUGACUUCUCCAUGGAUGCGCUUUGUCACGUGGCUCAACAUUCUUGGAGCUGAGAAGAUGGAGUUCUCUAAUUUUGCACACUGGUGCUCGCAAUUGCUGGAGAGUAAUUUCUUCUUGACUGUACUUCCCUGCACAGACUGACUUUGUCUUUUACCUUGUUGCCUUCUGAAGGGCAGUCAGACAUUGCAUUCAAGGCUGAGUGUCCCACCUGUUGUAGAGUUUGGAGGCAUAGUCCUUCUCUCAACCCAAAGGUACCACAGUUGAGUUUCAUCUAAGUCAUCUAGUUUUCUCCAUAGGCCAGUAGAGAAGAAUAGAAAUUUCUUGGCUGAAAAUACAAAUAAGUCAUUACUUAAGGUGUCUGAUUUUUCCUCCUUGUAUUAAACAAGCAAAACAAAUAAUUAAACAAACAAUGAAACAAAAGAAAAAAACUCCAUACACUCCAAUAAAAGAAAAAGAAAACAGCAGAGGUGAUGAGCUCAGAUAUCUGCAUCGGAGCAUUCCAGAGUUUAAUGGGAUUAAACUGUACCUCAGUUUCCCUAUGAAUAAACUAUAACAAUAGGACAUCAAUAACAGUAUAUCAAAUUAGAGUGUUGACACCCACUUCUUUAUGUGAAUGUGUUGUCUGCUUAGACAGAAUAACUCUUCAAAACAGAUGGCAAAAGGAAAAUGUUCUCUCUGUAUGUUAUGCUGCCUAUUUCCAGCAGGAUUUCGUUACUGAAGUAACCACAUUUCUUUGCACUGAGUUGCAAGGCAAAGAUCGGAUGGGACAGACCUGCCUGCACAUCUAGGAAUUGCUCCCAGUCACACAGAUGUAUUUCUGAAUAGAAAUGCAAUAGAAAAACAGUGUUGUUUCAAAAGACAUCAGCUUCUAGAAGGCCCCUGUUGGAUCUGUAAGCGAGUGGAUUGAGGAGCAUCAGAUAAUUCAUUUAUUCACAGAUUCUAAGAGUGAAAGGGUUGCAUUUUGAUCAUCAGGUCAGCUGUUUGGUGUAACGUCAGUUUCCCUUCGUCUACAUUUGUUCAGCUGUUCAACUAGAAUAUAUGUUUCAGAAGAAAACCAUACCAGACUGCAGAAUUCCUAGCUUCAUGUCUGAUCAGACAUUGUAAAGGAGUUUUUCUCAUUAAUUAAUGCUCUGUUGAAAUCAUUAUGCCUAUUUGCUAUGGAAAGAUUUAUCAAGAAAUUCACUGGAGCAGCUAACCUUGCUGUCAUGGAUUUGGUUACCCUUCCUUUUGCCUCAUUCCUGGUCCUCAAGGUUUCAGCAAAUUUCUCCCCAACUCUCAGCUUCCUGGUGAAUUUUCUAUCCCCUCUCAUUCGUGGGGUGUGACAGGAUAAUAGCAGCAAUCCAGUCCUUAUUGUCUGGAUCUGCGGAUGAACGGUGCUGUAUAAGUGUAAAGUGUUAUUAUUAUUGUAAGGAAAUAAUAAUACUAAUAAAACAAAAUGAAUCGA